CUAAAAACCUUUUAUUUCGUUCCCUAAAUGUUAAGAGCUAAUCAUCAAUGAUCAAAAUGAGCUCCCAGACCUAAUUAGAUAAAAUAGGCGCUUGGAGUAAGAGGACGACGCGGAUCGGUAUUUACCGUAGGCGCAAAGCCGUCGCCUGCGGCCAUGCUCGUCAGGUUGGGAAGCUUUUGGAGUCUUGGAGAGUCACAUGAGGCAUUUUGGUUGAGCUUUAGGUGUAGGAUUUGCCAUUUUUGUAAGAGGAUCACAUAGGUUUCUUUCCAUAAUUGAUUGAACACGUGAAAUAACAUAAGUGAUUGAAAUUCAAAACCUUUGAGGCUUGUGAUGCUAAAAAACUUGAGCUGGUUUAUGGCUUGAUUGAAGGUGACUGGCCCAUUUGUCUUAUGUUAUGGUGACUUGGUUUUAUAUGGGCAUGAUAGGAGAGUUGCUUGUGAGCUUAACUUAGACACGUCAUUGUUUUAAGGUCUCCCAUACUCAAAUCUUUUUGUAUUAUGUAGAGUUUGGAGAGCACAUUAUUGCAAGUCCUGUAUAUUUGUAGUUCAUUAUCGACAUUUCUAAGCCACUUGUUCACAUAUUCCUUAAAAGUGUCAUGGGAGACGAUCGUGCUCAUUUGGAAAGUUCAUUUAUCACUCAGAAGUAACAUUUUUCAUUAAUUGUUUCAUUUUAUGUAUUUUCCCAUCUUUUAGAGUUUAUGAAUGAUUUUUUCUCAUUUUCAUCUUAAAGUGACUGAUAAUGUUCUAAUGGCAUUUUAAUUACAUUUGCAUUAGAGAUGUCCUCAUUCCCUUGAAAUUUUAGCAUGGGCUUGUCAGAGCCUUUGGGUUAGGGGGCGAUAGAGAAGUCAUGUUGGCCAAUGCCCAACAUAAAAAAAAAAACAUUAUGGAUGGUGCAUUAGCACUAAGGCAUUUUUGAGAGAUUUAUACCCGCCACAUAAAUAAUUAUGCUUUAAAGAUAUAUCAUCCUUUCUAAUGAGCAUUCGCUUGUUAAGAAUAACAAACAAAUGUUAAGUAUGAUGCGUCGCUACGAACAUGAGACAAGACAUGUUAAUUAUUAGAAAUAUAGGACAAUAUGACUUGGGCAAUAUUUAAUAAUUUUUAAAUAGUGCAUAAAAAUUAAAUAAGCAUAAUAUUAAGAAUAACAAACAAAUGUUAAGUCAACAUCAUAAUUAGAUGUAUUAUGAUAUACAAAGGAUAAAACUCGCACAAACUUUCGAUCUUUCACAAACUCUUCACAAAAAAUAAUGUAGAACAGGAUAAGUUAGACAAAAUAGCAUAAGAUAUUCUUACCUAUGUUGGUCGAAAUUUAACCCUUACCUAUAAUGGUUUACCAAGUUGAAAAAUAAUUAAGAAAUUAACUCGGCAUAGUAAGAAAGAAAAUUUGAAAAUUAUAAGUUUAAUUUGAAAAAGUACUAAAUGCAAUUAAUGGAAUCCCUAGGGAUCAACCAUCCAUCAACCUAACACCAACAGCCUUCCUUCCCGUAUAAAAGUGCAGGUUGUCAAAAAGUGUUUUCUACGGCAAUUGCCAUCCAAGGAGAAAAUGCUAAUAGUACAUGUCCAAGCCAAUAUGAAUUCCAUGCGGUUAUCAAAACUGAUAACCUUACGUUCCAAUUACAUGCUAGACUUUUAUCAAGGGAAAAUUCUAAGUGUGAUACAAAGAUACAUGCUAGACUUUUAUCAAGGGAAAAUUCUAAGUGUGUUACAAAGAUACGUGCUAGUUUUAAGAACUACACUUACAUGUAGAUAAAUAUGUUUUAGUGGCCAUGGUGAAUUUUAGGAUCUUUGACAUUGAGAUUCACCGUGUAAAGGCUUCAAAUAGAGAUGAAAAUGAAGAAACAUAGAUAUAGAGUAGAGGGAGAGUUGAAUUUAAAGCACUCACUCACCUUCACUUUUUAUUCACUAGGGUUUCUUAUAUGUGGUCUGUGUGCCUUUUUGUCGGUUAGGGGUUGGCAUUGAUUGAGGGGCUGAGGAAAGCCUUUGUGUUUGGCACACUAUGUCCCUUGGUUGCUAUAAUAGAGUGGGGCCCUCCAUACGGGUUUUCUCUCUUUUUUGAGAGAAAGAGAAUGGAAAGAGAGGGAUAGGCUAGGUUUUUAUGGAAAUGGUGUGAGAAUAUUGUGGUGGUGAGGAGUGUGGUGCUAGAGAGAGAAAAUCUCUUUCUCUCCCUCCAAUUUUAUAGAGAGGAGAAUGUAAUUUUUUUCACUCUAGGUACAGAGAAAAAAGGGAAUGAGGGUGAGAGAUAUUUGUGGUGGAGAGGGAGGUGUUUGAAGAAAGAAAUUAUAAAUUUUCUCUUUCUAGAGAGAAUUUUCUCUCUAGGUCUAGAGAGAAAAAGUUGAGAAAGAUGAGGCUUUCUGGUCUGGAUGGUGUAGAGGGUUGAGGAGGCUUUUUUGUGAAGAGAGGAUGGCAUUUUGAGGGGUAUGGAGAGAGAAAUUAAAAAGGUAGGGUUAGGGCUAGGGUUAGGUUUAGGUUUAGAGAAGAAAAUGAUAAGGAAGAAGAAGAAAAAGGAGAAAGAAGAAGGUGAAGAAGGAGAAGAAGACGAGGAAGAGAAAAAGUAAAAAGAGGAGGAAGAAGAAAGAAUAGAAGAGGAAGAAGAAAGAAUAGAAGAGGACGAAGAAAGAAUGGAGGAAGUUACCUAAGUGAUGGCGGUGGUGGCAGGAAUAUAAAUUUUUCAAAUAAUAGGUCUUACGACUCCUAUUAAAAGUUGACUAAUUAUUUGGGUUUUAUAAGUCUUACUGCUUUCAUUUGGAAGUAGCCUAAUGGUGGGUCUUAUAAUUUAGCCAUAUAUGUUAAAUUGCCUGAGGUUUCAUAUUUAUUAUGAGAGGAGUUUUUCUCAAGUAAUAUGUCUUACAACUUCUAUUUAGAAGAUGCCUGAAAGCGGGUCUUAUUAUUUCACUUAGAAGUGACCCAAUAGCGGUUCGUACAACUUGGUCAUAUAGAUUAUGAUGCCCAAUAAUUUAAUUGUUGGGUAUUCUAAUAUAUGUACAUCCUAAAAAUUCAAAUAAAUUAAAACUCACAUCUAACUAGCUCAGUCUACUUGUGAUCCCUGAGUUGAAGCAACCUGUGGAUGCUAAUCAUAUUCCCUAGAUACUACAAUCAAUAAUUGUUAGUGUUGGUAAACUGAAAACCUACGGUAUACUCGGGACGACAAAACUAUAGGAUCUUGAUCGGGUUUACCUCCAUUUUUCCGACAAAUGAGACUAAAAUACUUAAAAAUUAGUCAUCCUUAAUCAAGAUAUCUCUCUUAUAUAUUAAGAGGGGUAAUUAACUAUGAGUGCUUACACUCAUGGGAAGUAAGAAUCCUGAAUCUAAUUAAACCCUGACACUACCUUUAGGGAAAAUCUGAUUAACUAUAAUUUGACCCAAGGAUAAUGGAAUCCUAUGUCUGCAAAGCGAGAUUCAUGCAUUGGUGUCGUUUAUCUUGAGCCAACAGACUUCAUGUGAGAGGGAACAAGAGACGAGAGGGGUCGAGCAUGAGUUUGUUUUAGUCGGGAGGGGGGCCAGUUGGGUUAUGGGAAUAUGAUGGAUUGAGUAUUUAUGUAUUGUUUGCUAUUUGUAAUUAAUUUCAAAUAUAUAGUUUAUGUAAGUUUUUUUCUUUUAAAAUUGAUCGUGCCACGACUUUUUCGCCACGUCAUUGUUGCCAUUCAUGCACACUCAACUCAAUAACGAGCUCGUGAGUCAAGCUUAAUAAUAAGCCACGAGCUUGUUAAAUUUGAUAAGGCUCGGCUCAUGAGCCCGCAAGCCAGGUCAUCAUAAAAAAUAUUAUUUUUUAAAAUAGAUUUAAGUCUUUUUUAUCUUAAUAAAAGCAACAGUACAACAUGAAAAAAAGAAAAGAAUAAAAACUAAAAAAAAAUUGGCCCGCUGUCUUUGUUGUCCAAUGCUGUUAAUAGCAGCUAACUUUUUUUUGAAAGGUAAAAAGAAGAAUUAAUUGUCCUGUGCUUUUACCAAGAUUAAAAAGCAAAUUCUAAUCUCUCUUUUCAGUUGCAACUGUCUUCUUUGGCAGAUGCUAGUCCCGCGACCUUCUUCUCCGGUGCAAGGGAUGCCGUCUCCUGCAAUGAAGCUGUGCACAACCUCCCAAGCUGCUCGCGAGACUUCCAUUUUCACAAUGAGCCGAGUUUGAGCUUGUUGUUUGAGCUCGACUCGAGUUCGAGCUCAUGAUUUGGCCGAUGAGUUGAGCUCGAGUUAGCAAUGACUCAAACUCGACUUAACUCGUUUAAAGUCUUAACAUCAAUCCAACAUUGACUCGCACAAUAACAUCAAUACAUUGACUUGCACGAGCAAGCAAAAUUAUUAUUUUUGUCGGUUGACAACCCUGGCAAAUAUGGGUGUCGAUCAUAGCUGCUUCAUCUAUCCCGAAUACCCUAGAAUGGUUUCUUUUUCAAACGGAGGUCAUUUCAAUUAUUUAGGUUUUUGGUCAACAUGCGUCAGGCUAAUUUCCUGUGGCCUCACGCUUUUUUAGCUUUCGAAAAUCAUCGUGCGCAGUCGACACAAUUCCAAUACUAGUAUUGAGCUCAACAGGUCAUCUCAUCGAGACAUUGAUUUUAAUUAUAAAUUUAUUAAAAGUUGAUUUUGGAUUACUCAAA